AUUGAACGCUGGCGGCAGGCCUAACACAUGCAAGUCGAACGGAGCAGCGGAGGGGUGAGUACUGCCUAGGAAUCGGCCAGGGCGUGGGGGAGAACGUCCGCUAAUGGGAGCUAAUACAGCAUACUAUCAGAUGAGGCUGGGGCGGAAUAGCGAUGUGGUGGGGCAAAGGCAUACCAAGGCGAAGAUCCGUAACUGGUCUGAGUGUAUGAGCAGUAACACUGGAACUGAGACACGGUCCAGAAUCCUACGGGAGGCAGCAGUGGGAAAUAUUGGACAAUGGGCGAAAGCCGGAUCCAGCCAUGCCGCGUGUGUGAAGAAGGUCUUCGGAUUGUAAAGCACUUGAAGUUGUGAGGCGUUACCAACAGAAUAAGCACCGGCGAACUUCGUGCCAGCAGCCGCGGUAAUAC
rnacentral:rRNA from 1 species